rfam:Thioalkalivibrio halophilus strain HL17 Ga0073316_158, whole genome shotgun sequence.
GGAGUCGGCCGGGCGGUCGCUGCGUCCGUGUGGCGUGGAGGAAAGUCCGGGCUCCGCAGGGCAGGACGCCAGGUAACACCUGGGCGGCGCGAGCCGACGGAAAGUGCAGCAGAAAACAUACCGCCGAUGGCCCGGCUCGUCCGGGCACAGGCAAGGGUGAAAUGGUGCGGUAAGAGCGCACCGCACGGCUGGUAACAGUCCGUGGCACGGUAAACCCCGUCCGGAGCAAGGCCAAAUAGGGGUGCAUGGUGUGGCCCGCAUCGCACCCGGGUAGGCUGCUUGAGGCGUCUGGUGACGGACGUCCCAGAUGAAUGAUCGUUCUCGACAGAACCCGGCUUACAGGCCGGCUCCCACU